UACGGGGGGGGCAAGCGUUGUUCGGAAUUACUGGGCGUAAAGGGCGCGUAGGCGGUCAGACCAAGUCGCGUGUGAAAUGCCAGGGCUUAACUCUGGCACGCUCGCGCGAUACUGGUCGGCUAGAGUGUGGAAGAGGAUGCUGGAAUUCCCGGUGUAGCGGUGAAAUGCGUAGAUAUCUGGAGGAACACCGGUGGCGAAGGCGGCGUCCUGGACCAACACUGACACUGAUGAGCGAAAGCCAGGGAGCAAACGGG
rnacentral:rRNA from 1 species